CAUUCCCAGCGAUUUUGUGUGAUGAUUCUGUGGGUGCUAUGCCCAGGCACUGUUUUUUUCAAAGCAUUCCUAGAUUUUUGUGCAUUUGUGCUGUGAACCUUUGAGAAGUAGUCUGUUUUAUUUCUUUUCCUGGUAGAAUCUAAGCAUUUGCAGCCUGUGUGCUCCUCCUAGUCCUCCAGUCUCCUCCAUGUGCAGGGUCUCUUAAGCAUACUCUGGAGACUCACCUUGCCUUUUCCCUGGUUUCUGGCUUUCACUGAAUUCUUGGCCUCCUUUGGCCUCCUUGAGCCUCUCUUAUUUCUGUCCUCUACUGGGGCUAAUUGCCAUCCCUAACCCUUCAUUCCACCUCCUUAAUGCAGCCUUACCACAAAAUGUUGUGUGAUAAAUGUUGGCCCAAAGUUUGGUAUGAAAG
rnacentral:lncRNA from 1 species